GUGCCAGCAGCCGCGGUAAUACGUAGGUGGCAAGCGUUGUCCGGAUUUACUGGGCGUAAAGGAUGUGUAGGCGGAUAUUUAAGUGAGAUGUGAAAUCCCCGGGCUUAACUUGGGGGCUGCAUUUCAAACUGGAUGUCUGGAGUGCAGGAGAGGAAAGCAGAAUUCCUAGUGUCGCGGUGAAAGGCGUAGAGAUUAGGCAGAAAACCAGUGGCGAAAGCGACUUCCUGG
rnacentral:rRNA from 1 species